rnacentral:rRNA from 1 species
AGCGAACGCUGGCGGCAGGCUUAACACAUGCAAGUCGAGCGGGCGUAGCAAUACGUCAGCGGCAGACGGGUGAGUAACGCGUGGGAACAUACCUUUUGGUUCGGAACAACACAGGGAAACUUGUGCUAAUACCGGAUAAGCCCUUACGGGGAAAGAUUUAUCGCCGAAAGAUUGGCCCGCGUCUGAUUAGCUAGUUGGUGAGGUAACGGCUCACCAAGGCGACGAUCAGUAGCUGGUCUGAGAGGAUGAUCAGCCACAUUGGGACUGAGACACGGCCCAAACUCCUACGGGAGGCAGCCUGAGACUCCAAGGCACACAGGGGAUAGG